AAGGCUGCUUAAAUAGGGGUGGAGUAACCUAAAUCUACCACAUGAGGGAGGCACGACAUAACAAAAGAACAAAUAAAUACAAAAUUAACUAAAGCAUUCUAUGAAAUAAAUAAAGCAAAACUAACUCUUACUUAGCAGAAACAAUAGGUGAAUAUUUAAGUGACAAAAUUAACUAAUUAAAAACAACUUGAAACAAGUCUUCCCCCUUCAGUCUUUCAAAAACAAAUGGUAUGCUCCAGGUUUCCUCCUCCAGCUGGUUUGUCUCAGCAGCACCUCAAACAAAAGACAAGUGUAAAUAAACCAUUCAGACAGACAUUAAAUAAAGUGUGCACCCAUUAGAAAAUAUAUGUCUAAAUGAAAUAACUAACUUAAACGUAUAAACUGUAAUAUAAUAUAAAGAAAAAAUACUAACACGAUGUGGUGGUGGGAGGAGCAUCCAGCACAACCCUCCAGGGCAGAAAAUACAAAGUUUUU